rnacentral:snoRNA from 1 species
AAGACUAUACUUUCAGGGAUCAUUUCUAUAGUUCGUUACUAGAGAAAUGUCACUGAUUGUGUAGAGCACCUAUAUAAGCCUAAUUUGAACAUUUUGAGGA